rnacentral:rRNA from 1 species
GACGAACGCUGGCGGCGUGCUUAACACAUGCAAGUCGUACGGUAAGGCCCUUUCGGGGGUACACGAGUGGCGAACGGGUGAGUAACACGUGAGUAACCUGCCCACAACUUUGGGAUAACGCUAGGAAACUGGUGCUAAUACUGGAUAUGUGCUCCUGCUGCAUGGUGGGGGUUGGAAAGCUCCGGCGGUUGUGGAUGGACUCGCGGCCUAUCAGCUUGUUGGUGGGGUAGUGGCCUACCAAGGCGGCGACGGGUAGCCGGCCUGAGAGGGUGACCGGCCACAUUGGGACUGAGAUACGGCCCAGACUCCUACGGGAGGCAGCAGUGGGGAAUAUUGCACAAUGGGCGCAAGCCUGAUGCAGCAACGCCGCGUGCGGGAUGACGGCCUUCGGGUUGUAAACCGCCUUCAGCAGGGAAGAAGCUUUUUGUGACGGUACCUGCAGAAGAAGCACCGGCUAACUACGUG